CACAACGGGUAUAACACAAUGCUGUGGCGCUUCGCCCGCUUUUACUCGUCAUAACCUGCACUAUUCUACAUCAACUCAUUUGCUAGGAAAGUCCAUAGCGUUGGGAGCGUCAGAAGUACAAAGCUUUGUGUGAGCUUUGUUUAUUAGAACCUGGUUUACGGCGACUUUUCUUUUUGUGAGGGAGAACGAAAAGUUGAUGUCCCACGACUCUCCCACGCACUCGGAUAUUACCAACAGUUGUAAUGGGCCAUGCUGCCGUACUAUAUCUUCUUUUUGGCAUAUGUGUCAUUCCAUCGCACCUUGCUAGCGCUGGCAAAAAAGAUACCCAAGGACCAAACGAAAGAUGUUUGACGGAAACAACAGUGGAAGGCUGCGCGACCAUCCUCUUGAGCUGGAGCUAUAGCAAUGAAACCAGUAAAUGCGAAAAAGGCUUCGUUUGUCAUGAAUGCCCUAACCGAUUUGACACUCAUGAAGAAUGCACUACUACCUGUCCAAUGCCACCGAAGCAAGCAACAAAACCAAAGCUCAUACGAAAACAACCACGAAGGAACUGCAGGUUUUGGCUUAUGCGUGGUGGAUCCUGCCAAGAUCUCUGGUUUGAAUUCAAGAAAAACAAGUUAGGGGUGAUGCGCCGACUGCUUUAUUACAGCGGCUGUCGGCAAGACAAGAAUAGGUUAUUUGAAUAUGACUUUUACAGGAAGAAAUGUCAUGAGGUCAAAAAUCGUCCGUCUGAAAAGACUCAACAGAAAGGAGGAAAACCUGAAGCCAGAAGACGAGGACGGAAACCUACAAGUUCAGAAGAAGCGAACACUGAAACCAAUACACACAAAGAGGCUGACGAAGGCGCUCGAUAACGAGCACGGGGAAACGCAUUGCGAAUACGUGAGAAGUAACGCAUAAAAGCAUGCACGAAACGGGCCAUCCCCUUGUACUCGUCACUCCGAUGUAAAGUAACAGCACAACUCCUGACGUUGGGCUCUGCCCUUGUAGAAAUCAUCCAACAUUUUCAAACACAGGUCCCACAUCUGUUGAUGCUAAUAGAUAGGCAACAGAAAUACCACAGAAAUUUUGUACUGAUUUUUGUCAGGGUGCUCUGGAUUGCCAGCUUUAGAAGCUUAAAAUAAAAGCAUUUUCGCUCUCUGG